UGAAAGUACAACCCUGAACGGUGGAUCACUCGGCUCGUGGGUCGAUGAAGAACGCAGCAAAUUGCGCGUCGACAUGUGAACUGCAGGACACAUGAACAUCGACAUUUCGAACGCACAUUGCGGUCCAUGGAUUCCGUUCCCGGACCACGCCUGGCUGAGGGUCGGUAGUUAAAA
rnacentral:rRNA from 1 species